GACGAACGCUGGCGGCGUGCCUAAUACAUGCAAGUAGGACGCAGUUGCGAACGGGUGAGUAACGCGUAGGUAACCACCUCUUAGAGGGGGAUAACUAUCGUAAACGAUAGCUAAUACCGCAUACUAGCAGAUGGACCUGCGUGGUAUUAGCUAGUAGGUAGGGUAAUGGCCUACCAAGGCAACGAUACAUAGCCGACCUGAGAGGGGGAUCGGCCACACUGGGACUGAGACACGGCCCCGACUCCUACGGGAGGCAGGAGUAGGGAAUCGUCAGCAAUGGGGGGAACCCUGACCGAUCAACGCCGCGUGAGUGAAUAAGGUUUUCGGGUCGUAAAGCUCUGUUGUUUAGGAAGCGGUACUUAACCAGAAAGGGACGGCUAACUACGUGCCAGCAGCCGCGGUAAUUC
rnacentral:rRNA from 1 species